GUGAGGGCGAGUCCCCUAGCCGAGGCGAGACCCAGCAAAGGUCGGUCUCGCCCAGACCAGAUUUGGCAAGGCCGACACUCGCCUAGGCGAGGCCCACCCUUGCCCAGGCUAGGCAGCCUCGCCUGAUCUAGGCGAGGGUCAAGCUCGCCGGGCCUCGCCUGUGGCGAGUGAGGCCAGACCGACGGCCAUGGCCGGUGGAGGGGCUUUGUCUCUUUGCUUGUCGUGGCUUACUCUCUUUCCUCUCUCUCUCUCUCUCUCUCUCUUGCGGACAUCGAUGAGCGCCGGAUCGUUGGUGAGCGUGAAACCUUGAUUUUGUCCUCUUGCUUGUCUCGUCUCUUUCGUUGUUCCCUUCCUUCCUUCCUUUCCCCAUGGCCGAAACCCUAGCCCUGCGUCCAGAGCCAACCGGGGAGGCCGAUGCGGGCGCGAAGCUCGGCAAUGCCGGAGGGGCGAGGGUGGAGAUCGACACGUCGGCCCCGUUCGAGUCCGUCAAAGAGGCGGUGAGCUGGUUCGGCGGGAUCGGUUUCUGGAGGCCCUCUCGUCUUCUCAAGUCCCCUGAAACUCAGGUCUUUCGUUCCAGUUGGAGGGACCAACUUUAGGCGUCGUUGGGGGAGUAGUUUCUUGGUUUUCUUGGCCAAGAACCACGACAGCAGCUAGUAAGUAAGGCAAAGAUCUCAGCUAAGUUGUUAUAAGAUUUUAAGGAGAAAAAUUGAGAUAGAGCCGUGUCUUGGUUGCUGGUCUAAACUGUAGCCUGAUUCACUUUUGCUGUGAAUCAGGUGUAUGGUAGGUUAAUGUAUCCUACUUUUUUGGGCUGUCUUAAGUUGUUUGUGUGUAACAAGUUGCUGGUGUCUACUGUGUGUGCGUGAGUUGUAAUGUGUACCAUGUUAAGGGAGAGAGAAGAGCAUGCUUAGGAGUAUUCUGUUAGUGCGUGGUUACUGAUGAUGGUUUUCAUGAGCUGUGUGUGUUAAUUGUGAGCAUUGAAAAUUGGUACUGGAAGCAUGUGAGCUGUAUCCGCAUUAUGUGUGCACUGUAAUUUGUGAGAUGUGCAUGUGUGGAGCAAUGGCUUUGUGAUGUUGCUGCACAAUUGAAUGUGCUGGUGCGAGUUGAAUGAGGGUGUUGCUUGUGCUGUGUGCUUUGUUAGGCGCGAGCUGGUGUAGAACUGAGUGAACUGCUGGUAUGGGUAUGCAUGAGCUGUGUGUGUAUGCUGUCAGUGUGGUGUGUGUGCUGGAGAUGUAAAAAUGCUUGUGCUAUGUAGGAGCUUCAAAUGCUGACUGUGGACACGUGUGAUGUUCAUGAGUGAGCUUGAGUCUGUUGGUGGAUGUGUGUGUGAUGUUCAUGAGUGAGCUGUGAGUCUGUUGGUUGUGCUGCGUAAGCCAGUGCAAGGAUUAGCAAGACUAAGGAGAGGGCCAUAAGCUGCAAGUUGCAGCAGCUCCAUGAGAUGCAAAUUGCAGCAGCUAGGGCUGCUAAUUACGAUCUUUCUGCCUGUGACUGGCAGCUCUCCAAGAGCUCAACCAGUCCCUCCUGUAAGCUCCUGAACAAAAGAGAAAUGAUUUUGGUUCAUUCCUUAUGUAUAUCAAUGCAACUAUGCCCGUAUGAGAUGCUUAUACAAGCUAGGAUCGUGUGUUAAAAUGCAUUCUUGGUGUUAGAAGCCAUAAAGGUUGGGCUUGAACCGGAAUUUGUGUUCUCAUGAAUUUUAUCCCUCUGCCCAGAUACUAUCCAGAUUUUAAUUAGGAAUAUUAAGCCCGAUUUAAAUGUCACUUCAGGCAAUAAGUACAUAUGUUAAGAUUAUAAGAAUGUGAUGCAGUUGAUGUAUGUUGAUUUGGUGCCAAUUUCUCAUCAUCAGCGUUCUUGUGAAAUGUAUAGGUUUUGAGUCUGGGCUGUUUGUCAUCAUCGAGACCUUUGGUGAUGGACUCUAGCCUUACUUUCAGCUAUUCGGCAAGUCAAGCCAACUCUUGCUGGUUUCUAUGGCCGGGGAAUGGGCUACUUACUGCCUUUAAUAUUUAUCUGCCGUCAUUAACAUCAUGAUUUAGUUUGAAUCUUGGUUUAGUGUAUAUUGUAUAUUUUAUUAUUGUAGCAUUUCAAAUUAAGUAAUUCUUGUCAUACA